rnacentral:lncRNA from 1 species
UGAUUUCUAUUUUUUAAACUACAAACAGCAGUUUUACCCAGAAAAAUUUUUUGAAAAAAAUUCAUUUGAGUGGGUAAACGUUGUCCGAUGGAUUUGAAAUUUUACAUACAUAUUUUUGGCACUGUGACUGAAUAUAAAAACAUAUUUCCCGCAAAAAAAUCAGUCAAAAAAUUCAAAAAAAUUGAAAAAGAUGAAAUCUA